ensembl:lncRNA
CGGGGAGGGGUAGCUACCGCGGGCCGAGCGCUCUCGCCUUGUGCCCCCGGCCCCCAGCGCAUCCCUUGUUACCUGAGCAACUGCACCCGGCUGCCGGCGGGAUUUGCCCGCGCCGCGUGGAGUAGGAGUAGAGGCGGGGCGGCGGUGAGGCCAAGUGAACGCAGAAUCCAGCUGAGGGGCUCUACUGUGCGCCCCGGAAAAAGAUUUCCCCGAGGGCAUCUCAACUUGACCAGAUGGUCUCGACACGUGCGAGCACCUUCUAUGCUGUCUCUAAUCCAGGCAGGCCCGAGUAGUCAGUAUCUCUCCUUUCGCCGGGCCGGGAAGCAGAGCCUCCGAAGGUUCCUGGGCGCUGCUGCUGUAUCUCCAGGGGCCAGUUCAGCCAGUCAGCCAGCAGGUAUUCGCGCUCCUAACAGAAGACUGCCCGAGGAACCUCCAGCAGCGCGUCCACCGGCCCUGGAAUACUUUCUGCGUAUUUUCUCCCCAAACCAAAUACAAUUUUUGCCAUUUGGUCUACACAAAAAUAUAUCUGAAGUUCCUAGAAGAACUGUACAAAAAAGAGCUUCACAACUAAGAUAAUCAUGAUGGUGUGAUCACUCACCUAGAGCCAGAUAUCCUGGAAUGUGAAGUCAAGUGGGCCUUAGAAAGCAUCACUAUGAACAAAGCUAGUGGAGGUGAUGGUAUUCCAGUUGAGCUAUUUCAAAUCCUGAAAGAUGAUGCUGUGAAAGUGCUGCACUAAAUAUGCAGGCAAAUUUGGAAAACUCAGCAGUGGCCACAAGACUGGAAAAGGUCAGUUUUCCAAACCAUUCCAAUCCCAAAGAAAGGCAAUGCCAAAGAAUGCUCAAACUACUGCACAACUGCACUCAUCUCACACGCUAGUAAAGUAAUGCUCAAAAUUCUCC